CCUCGAAAUACUAGCCAGAGCAAUUAGACAGAAAAAAGAAAUUAAAGGCAUAAAAAUAGGAAAAGAAGAACUUAAAUUAUCACUAUAUGCGGAUGAUAUGAUAAUAUAUCUAACAGACCCAAAAGGGUCUACAAAGAAACCACUAGAGCUAAUAAGUGAAUUUAGCAAAGUGGCAGGAUAUAAAAUCAACACGCAUAAAUCAAAGGCAUUCCUAUAUAUCAGCAACAAAUCUUCUG
rnacentral:lncRNA from 1 species